UGGGGCACAGCUCAGCGGUAGAGUGACUGCUUGGCAUGCGUGAGGCCCUGGGUUCAAUUCCCAGUACCUCCA
rnacentral:tRNA from 1 species